UACGUAGGGGGCUAGCGUUGUCCGGAAUCAUUGGGCGUAAAGCGCGUGUAGGCGGCUCGGUAAGUCCGUUGUGAAAGUCGGGGGCUCAACCCUCGGAUGCCGGUGGAUACUGUCGGGCUUGAGUACGGAAGAGGCGAGUGGAAUUCCUGGUGUAGCGGUGAAAUGCGCAGAUAUCAGGAGGAACACCGAUUGCGAAGGCAGCUCGCUGGGACGUUACUGACGCUGAGACGCGAAAGCGUGGGGAGCAAACAGG
rnacentral:rRNA from 1 species